rnacentral:misc_RNA from 1 species
GAUGAAGAACGUAGCGAAAUGCGAUAAGUAAUGUGAAUUGCAGAAUUCAGUGAAUCAUCGAAUCUUUGAACGCACCUUGCGCCCUUUGGCCAUUCCGAAGGGCAUGCCUGUUUGAGUAUCAUGAACACCUCAACUCUUUAUGGUUUUCCAUGAUGAGCUUGGACUCUGGGGGUUUUGCUGGCUCACAGUCGGCUCCUCUAAAAUGAAUCAGCUUACCAGUGUUUGGUGGGUAUCAUGGGUGUGAUAACUAUCUACGCUUGUGGUUUUUCCACCAGGUAACCUGCAGCAGUGGAGGUUCGCUGGAGCUCAUAGAUGUCUCUCCUCAGUGAGGACAGCCCUUUGAAUGUUUGAUCUCAAAUCAGGUAGGACUACCCGCUGAACUUAAGCAUAUCAAUAGCGGAGGA